rnacentral:misc_RNA from 1 species
UGAGAAUACUUCAACAAGUGUUCAUGCAACCAAUAGCGUAUUUGUACAAUGACCUCAAAUAUCAUAAUUUAAAAGAAAAAAUUAAUCAUUUUAACAGCUAUCAAGUUACAACCUAGUAUACAACAUAUCUUAAGCUAAACAAUCAACAACACCACCAGUGAAGCUGGUCUAGGCAAAUGAGGAUUAAUUUUUCAUAAUAUUAAUGUUUUUGGGUUUCAGAAUUAGGUGGAACAGAAAUCCAAUUUCGUGAAUUGUUUUCAGAAUUACAAUGGUCCGAACCCUAGAUAUUAAAAUUAGGGCAAGAAAA